CGCACACGCACCUCCACUCAAAGUCAAAACCAGGUCACUGUGGCUCCAUUAACUGGGAAGGAAAUCGUCGGGUGUCCCAUGUGAAGGAGGACCGUAGUUAAAGCCGCACCACGAGGAGCUGUGCAACGAGCUGGAGGAAGACGGGAAACUGGUUUAGUGACCAGUUCACAAAACACUGGGGUUUUGCUACAUGGUGUAUUACCAAUAGGAAUAUUUAGCUAAAUGCUCCAAUGGGCUCAGCAGCUCCACACGCCUUCCUGCUGCUUGCUCCAGGCUACAAACACACAGGAGCUCAAAGGCCAAACACCCCUUUUUCGUUCCGAUAUCAAUGAUGACCUGUAUGUGUGCACGGAGCUUUAACCAGGAAAGAUGGAGACCAUUCCUAAACCCAUUCCGGAUCUCUAGAUCUCCCAAGCAAUCAGUUUUAAAUGCAGACUAAUCUGCGUUUAUCAUCUACCAACCAUUUAAGCAGCACUGUGCUGCCAGGAGAAGGUGGUGGACCUGAGUGAUGUGACUAGCGGGCGUUUAGAUGCUGGGAGGCCUUCGAGCUGAGAAACAACACUUCUGUUGCCAACGUACACACGUUUUUCCCUGUAGAUGGUCUAUGCAGCAGUGAUGGAGAACAGUAGUUAUGAGAGAUGAUGAGAGGGAAACGGAAAGGUUGUGAAGACUUCUUUCCAAGAAAGCAGAAGAUCAAGGUUCCCAUGAACAAAGGAUUGAUCAUACGUCAGGCUAUUUUUAGCCGUCCAUGUCCAGACUUUUGGUCUCCGCUGGGAAUGUGUAAUUGAUGAAGGGGACACAGGCCUGAUACAACAUCUUCAGAUAAAUCAAAUCAUGUUCACGUUCCAAAAUAUGGACGUAUCUCAGCCAAAGCCAGCGGGCUUGGCGAAGGACUCUCACACACGCACAAGAUGUAAGAUAAGUUGUGGAGAAGACAAACCAGAAACAGCGUGGAGGAGAAUGUCUGGAAUUUAACCCACCGCCAGUAUCUGACCGUCCACGCCCCCGCGACCCGGGGGGCCUCCACCCGCUCACACAAACACAGGACUCUUGAGCUGAAUUAUGCGUCAAGGACAGUGCCGUGUCCCUGAGCGGAGACAGAGACCGGGGUGAUGUGGAGGAAGAGAAAGCCGAGUCGAGGGAGACGACGGGCGAGAUAGGCAGCAGGAGGACGAUACGGAGUCUGCUGCACCGCUCAGCUGUCCGAGGAGACUCACACCAGGACCAGUCCCCGGAGGAGGGAGGACCAGGAGUCCUGACCACUGAGGACUGAGGCCUUCCUGAGGAAACUGUCCACGAUUUGAGAACGAACACCAUCAUUUUCUGUACGGCAGCAUUACGGUUGCUAACCUCAGCCACAAGGAGCUACCGGUCGUACCACAGCGUGUGCGGUGGCCACAGAUAAAGUGGAGCGUGUAUAAAGGAAAGAGGACACGUUAAGGAUUAGCACCGCAGCAAAGACAGAUUCCCUUCAGACAUCAUAAGUGAAC
ensembl:lncRNA